CCAGAGGGUCGGGCGAUCGCCGCCGCGCAAGCGGGGGAGGAAAGUCCGGGCUCCACGGAAACCACGGUGCCGGAUAACGUCCGGCGGCUCCGGGCAACCGGGGUCAGGGAAAGUGCCACAGAGAGCAGACCGCCAAAGGCUUCGGCCCGGCGAAAGGUGAAAGGGUGCGGUAAGAGCGCACCGCGCGGACGGUAACGGACGCGGCAUGGCAAACCCCACCGGGAGCAAGGUCGAAUAGGGAUGGCACGAGGUAACUCAGGGCUGGUUCCGGCCGCGCCGUCCGGGUUGACUGCUUGAGCGUCGGGGCAACCGGCCGCCUAGAGGAAUGAUCGCCCAUCCCCGGCAACGGGGUGGACAGAACCCGGCUUACAGACCCUCUGGCCUA
rfam:Sphingopyxis sp. H071 H071_contig000003, whole genome shotgun sequence.